ACUUAGAUAGCUUAUAUUUAGAGCAUAACACUGAAGAUGUUAAGGAAAUAUUUUAUUUUUAAGUG
rnacentral:tRNA from 1 species